UUGCCCCAUGAUUAUAAAAAGACGCAUUAAGAGAACUUAUGCUGGGAUUCUUUUUCUUUUUUCCUCUUUUGUUUUUACUCUUUCUCUUCCUUUUCUAUACUUCUUUUCCUCUCUUUGAAAAAAUAAUUAAAAAAAAAAAAAAGAACCA